AUGGAAGAACUGUACAAAAAAGAUCCUCACGACCCAGAUAAUCACGAUGGUGUGAUCACUCACCUAGAGCCAGACAUCCUGGAAUGUGAAGUCAAGUGGGCCUUAGAAAGCAUCACUACAAACAAAGCUAGUGGAGGUGAUGGAAUUCCAGUUGAGCUAUUUCAAAUCCUGAAAGGUGAUGCUGUGAAAGUGCUGCACUCAAUAUGCCAGCAAAUUUGGAAAACUCAGCAGUGGCCACAGGACUGGAAAAGGUCAGUUUUUAUUCCAAUUGCAAAGAAAGGCAAUGCCAAAGAAUGCUCAAACUACCACACAAUUGCACUCAUCUCACAUGCCAGUAAAGUAAUGCUCAAAAUUCUCCAAGCCAGGCUUCACCAAUACGUGAACUGUGAACUUCCAGAUGUUCAAGCUGAUUUUAGAAAAGGCAGAGGAACCAGAGGUCAAAUUGCCAACAUCCACUGGAUCAUGGAAAAAGCAAGAGAGUUCCAGAAAAACAUCUAUUUCUGCUUUAUUGACUAUGCCAAAGCCUUUGACUGUGUGGAUCACAAGAAACUGUGGAAAAUUCUGAAAGAGAUGGGAAUACCAGACCACCUGAUCUGCCUCUUGAGAAAUCUGUAUGCAGGUCAGGAAGCAACAGUUAGAACUGGACAUGGAACAACAGACUGGUUCCAAAUAGGAAAAGGAGUACGUCAAGGCUGUCUAUUUUCACCCUGCUUAUUUAACUUCUAUGCAGAGUACAUCAUGAGAAACGCUGGUCUGGAAGAAACACAAGCUGGAAUCAAGAUUGCCGGGAGAAAUAUCAAUAACCUCAGAUAUGCAGAUGACACCACCCUUAUGGCAGAAAGUGAAGAGAAACUAAAACGCCUCUUGAUGAAAGUGAAAGAGGAGAGUGAAAAAGUUAUCUUAAAGCUCAACAUUCAGAAAACAAAGAUCAUGGCAUCCGGUCCCAUCACUUCAUGGCAAAUAGAUGGGGAAACAGUGGAAACAGUGUCAGACUUUAUUUUUCUGGGCUCCAAAAUCACUGCAGAAUGUGAUUGCAGCCAUGAAAUUAAAAGAUGCUUACUCCUUGGAAGGAAAGUUAUGAGCAACCUAGAUAGCAUAUUCAAAAGCAGAGACAUUACCCUGCCAACUAAGGUCCAUCUAGUCAAGGCUAUGGUUUUUCCUGUAGUCAUGUAUGGAUGUGAGAGUUGA
rnacentral:lncRNA from 1 species